AUGAACCUCGGCUGUCUCGUCCUCACUGUCUGCCUGGGCCACCUCCUGGGCACCAUGGGGCAGACCGUUGUCACCCAGGAAGAUGGAGAAGUCCUGGUGAAGCAGAAAGGCCUCUUCCAGACCACCUGUACAUACCAGACCAAUUACUUCAAUGGAUUGUUGUGGUACCAGCAGAGGAAAGGACAAGCCCCACAGCUGCUCUCGUCUCAGGCAGGGGCCGGCCAGAGGCAGAGCGGCCGUAUCAGCACGGAGCUGAACACCACGGGGAAAUACAGUGUCCUGCAGGUGGAGGAAGUGGAGGUCUCUGACAGUGCCUUGUACCUCUGUGCUGUGCGAGACACCCUGAGUUCCGAGUUCAAAGUAGGGUGA